rnacentral:piRNA from 1 species
UGAUGGUCACAUCGCCGUUUGCAGCAAGC